ensembl:lncRNA
CCUGGAAGUUGUGAGACAUGGAUUUGCCUUUUCAUUUUUAAGGUGAAGUGCCCUGCUUUGUCUUCAGUCAGCAUUUGCAACCUGUUCUUGCCUUAGCAGCCUCUCCAUUGGGUUUUAAAGACCCUCUGCCACACAAAGGCUUUGGGGCCGCGAUCCAGGAGCCUGCGGUGCCAUAUGUGCCAUAUGCCAGGGCUUGGGGCUCAGGGUGCCUCCAGCAGCAGCUGGGGCUGUGCCUGGAGGGGAGCACCCUGAGACAGCACAGGCUGCUUUAGAUUUGGCAUCGCCAAAGGAUUUUCUAUUCCUCCCCCCAGGUUAUGGAUACCCCGCAGCACCCACUUUCAGCAGUGAGCUGAGCACAAUACCCUCCAGCAUCUCCUUGAUGAACCCAGAGCACUCUGGAGUGCUCAGAUAGCCCAACUCUGACUGAAUUCCAGUAGGAGGCCAUUUAAUAGGAACCUCUUUUAGAUAAAGUAUUUCUACAAACAUGGAAAUAAAGCAAUACUCUGUGAUCCUCUCCAAAAGAAACAGCGUCAGAGAAGUUCAGUGUGGAAAACCUUUUUUGAUCAUCACAGUCCCUUCCUCAUUACUGAAGGAGGUAGGGCUCCAGACUGUCUGCCGAAAACACAACUGACAAAGGUGCAGCUGUGGUGCAUGAUAUAUGAUGAUGGCAAUCACUGGGACACAUCUGGGGAGCCUGAGUUUCAUUAUUCUGUUCCACAUCCUUGCCACUGACCCCAUUAUGUGGGUGGUUUCAACGUAUUUUGUCUGCUAAAGGGCUACAAGAAGAACUGAGGCUUAAGCUUCAGCUAUUACAUCUGCUUUCCUGCAUUCCCAAAGGUAACAGAGGAACCUGCUUUGUCUGCACUAGUUUAACAGAAAAUCCCCUCUGUUCAUGUAUUCUCAAUCAGUCCAAAAAUAAUUAUCCUUUGACUGGGUCUGACUGUAAUACAACCUGCCCAUCUGACUCAAGAGUUCAGGUUAUUCACAGAAUCAUAAAGACCAUAAGGAGAAGACCACCAAGGUCUAGUCCAACCGUCAACCCAUCACCACCAUGUCCACUAAACCAUGUCCCAUGGUGCUGGAUCCUAAAAAAGUACACGCAUAACAAGAUGUAAAACUUCUGUCUUUCCAGCGACAUUUCUAUUAUUGUUAUUUCUUCAAGAAAUAAAUAAGAAAUCAAAUAAAUGCAAACCAUUCCAC